GCACUUAGGGGUAGUCAUCAUAUGGAUUUUAUAUGUGUAGAUUUUAUUUUCCCAUCUAUCCGAUAAAUCAUAGUUUAAUUUAUAAAGUUAAAAAUUAUAUAAAGCAUGCCUUUCUGAAUUUAUGCUUAAACAUAAAAUUUAAAUAUAUUUUGUAUAAAUAUGCCAACUUUUAUUCGUGAAGGCAAGAUAGAUGCAGUACAUACUCGUAGAUAGCUCGAGACUCAUGAGCCAAUGACGGUUCUCGAAUUAGCUCGACGCAUUAAUCAAAGUCCCUGGCAUUAUUGACGGCAUCAGAAGUGCCAACGAAUGUAGAUAACGUACUUUGUUUUUCAUCGUGUCGCAACGACCUGGGUCGAGGCCAGCGGCUACCAAACCGUAUGGGGUCGGGGCACGCGACGUGGACCUACGCGGAAGACGAGUCCGCUGUCGCAACAGGGAUCGACGUGGCCGCAGGGGCUAUUUACAAGGCUCUAAUCCCACUUUGAUUCCUUGGCCGGUGGGGAAUGUCAGUGCGACGACGCCGCAAAUAGAUUUUUGGCACAGUCGUAACAAUUGAGGUGUUCGAUAGUUGAGAUAAGGUGCGGUAGGGUGCGCGCGUGGCGGGGAGGCGACAGUCGCUGCUCAGUUCCCGCGCGCGCGACGCGACGUUCCGCCAGCUGUUCGUGUAUCCAUCAUGUGUUCAGUGAGUGACAGUGACCAGUGAAAACAGUUGGGAUAUUGUUGCUGUAUGUAUUGUCUUGGCUGAGUAGCACUUAACGAAAAGGAACCUAUUUAUUUUUGUUGUAUAAAUGUGACAACUGGGAUUUGAAUUAGUAUUAAAAACCUUUUUUAAACCAUCUAAACUUUGAAGAAAAGUACUCUGUUAAAAUACUUUUCAUGGUGCUUUUUAUUUUUAUUAAUUUAUUUUUUAAAUAAUCUGCCAACAUGUCUACAUUUUGCCGCAUCACCGGGAAGAGUAGGGGACUCCCAAAGCCAAACUAUUUCCCACUACUUCCGCCCAUUUCUCCGGCCGACGCUAAACGUUUUUGUAGAAUUACCGGAAAAUCUUAUGGACUCCCUGCACAUCAUUAUAUUCCAGUCUUAGUCAGUACCAAACCGAAGAAAAAGGCGGCCCAGCCACCCAUCCCUCUUAUAGGCCAAGAGAACGGUAUUCCCGAGAAAAACCACGUACUUGUCGCAGAUUACAGAUAUGUCUUCCCUGUCUGCGAGGAUUCUGCAGAUCUCGUACAGCUUUUGGACAGUAAGAAUAUUGAGAGCAAAGCACAUUACAUCUACAAGGUCGCGGAGAGAAGAUGCAGCUUGGUAUUCACGGCUAAGAUGGAGGCUGCAGUGAGAGACGGGGACAUCAGGAACGUGAUGUUAGCAAAGGACUCGGAUACUCUUCUUUUAAAACUGAAAAAGGGCGGAGAUGUCGCUAUCGAUGUCAGGGAUAUCUCGAUCGACGGUUUGGAGAUAUACGAUGGUGAGGGUCCGAGUGAGGAGGUUGUGAAUGAACGAAAAAAAAGAAAGAGGAAAGGCAGUUCGGUUAUGUCAACGGUCGGGAAGAUAUUUGAGGAAAAAGAACGUGCCGCCGCCUUAGCUGAAGAAAUAGAUAACCAGAGACCGAAACUGUUGAAGAAAGAAACUAGUAAGGAUGUUAGUAAAGCUAAAAUAGAAUGUAAACCACAGAGUUGGAGUGACUGUAGACCCGAUCCAGUAGACACGAUUAAAUUAGCUAGUUCCCAAGAGCUUAGUCCGUUGUUUGAGAGUAACGAUUGGUCGAACUGGGAGAGCACAAUGCUCCAUAAAGGGCAACCGAUCACGAACAAAAUGCCUUCUCCUUGCGUUCUUGACCCGUUACUAGUAGAUUUAGGAACGUCUUUGCCUGGAUUAAUUCAGGCACCUCUAGUUUUAGAGAGCACGGGUGGUCUUGAAGUAACGUCAGCCAUCAACCCGAUAACGCCUUUAAUUGCUGAACCCGACGAACAGCUCUUGAGCUGUAUAAAGAAACUUGACCCAUCAGAGCUCGAAAAAACUGCUGGGACGAAACAGAUAUUUGCAAGGGAUAAACAUAAUCUUAAUAUGUUACCGACAAUAGCGGAAAUUCCAGAGAUCAUUGAAAAAAUGAACGAAGGGACCCAUUCCACAGUAGGUAACCCCAAUUGUAAAGUAACCGGAUUAAAAUUAGACAUAAAAGCGGCUACUAAAUUCGUUGUUGGUAUGACUGUUAAUACACCUACAGGGGAUGUGUUUGUUCCCGGACAGACAGUCGAUACACCAAAUGGGGAGCAGUUCAUCCCUGGUAUUACUAUUAAGACUCCUGAGGGUGCACCUCAACUCAUUCCUGGCCAUAUCCUUCAGGUUGAUAAAGAUAAUAGUGGAGUUAAAACGCCUGUUUUUAUCGCUGGACAAGUAUUAAAUACGAGAGAGGGGGAGAAAUUUGUACCCGGCCAGAAAAUUGUUACUAAAGAUGGAGCAAAGUUCGUUCCUGGCCAGACAGUCAUGGCACCAGAUAGCCUAAAGUUUAUCCCCGGUCAAAUUGUUCCUGGAGAAACACCGCAAUUUGUUCCUGGUCUGACAGAACUCGAUUGUGAAGGUCAUAAAUUCGUCCCUGGGCAAAUGCACACGGACCAGUUCGGUAGAACAGUUUUCAUGCCUGGGCAAUCUGAACAGACGGAGGAGGGUUGGAAGUUCAUCCCUGGUCAAAGCAUAGUUACUCCCACAGGUGAUUUGAAAUUCGUUCCUGGUCAAACGAUCGAUUCCAAAGACGGGCCUACUUUCAUACCGGGCCAAACCGUUACCAAUAAAAAUGGAGAUGAUGCAUUUGUACCAGGUGUAGUUGUAGAAUCCGAAGAAGGUGCUAAAUUUCUUCCUGGAGCAACAAUAAAAACUCCUGAUGGGCCACAAUUUGUUGAAGGGCAACUAUUCAGAUCUGCCAGUGGUAAGAUACAUUUCAUUCCAGGAAAUACAGAAAUAACAGAUGAAGGAAAUUACGAGUUUGCAGCUGCUCGUUACGUCAGUGACAUCGUAUAUAGAGAUAGCAUGUCUUUGGGAAUAUCUCUUGAUAACGCGGCCAUCAAUACAAAUGAUAAGGCAGACACAGUUUACGGUCACAUAGUUCAGACGGGUCAAGGUGUGGAAUUCUUCCCAGGAGUAGCAUCAGGACUACCUGCUGGAAAAGUUGUGCCUGGAAGGCUGGUUAGAGGAAAAGAAGUUAAAUUUGUACCUGGCAUCAUAAUCGAUGACAAAUUUGUUCCUGGGCAAGUUGUAACUACAGAUAAAGGUGAACAGUUUGUCCCUGGCCAAGUUGUGGAAACAAAGGAUGGUCCAAAAUUCGUUCCAGGCCAAAUCGUCGAAAUGCGAUCUGGGCCUAAAUUUGUGCCUGGUCAGACAGUUGAAACUGCUGAAGGUCCUAAGUUUGUACCUGGCCAAAUCGUAGAUACAAAAGCAGGACCUACAUUUAUUCCCGGUCAAGUCAUAUCUACUGAUGACGAAGGUUCGCGGUUCGUUCCCGGACAAGUAGUUGAAACCAUAGAAGGACCAAGAUUCGUUCCUGGUAGAGUCAUUGAAACAGGUGACAAAGUUUCAUUUAUUCCUGGACAAGUUGUUGAAACCACAGAUGGAUUGAAAUUUGUUGCUCCUGAUCUAGAAAACGAUCCUGAGGGUGAUGUACAAUUUACAGUUCAAGGAUUUGAAAUAACUCCUGAAGAGCUAAAUUUACUUCGACCGCACAUUAGCUCGAAUUCUAUUUUUUCACCUGCAUCGGGAGAGACAGCUAUCGAUUCCAGAAUGAUGAAACAGCUAUCAGAAGCUGGAAUGGCUGUAGGAAGACAAGUUCCAGCGGAUGUACCAGUUGUAGAUGUGAGAACAGUUCCGGCCAUGGGAGUUGCUUGCUCUCUAAGAGAUCGACUUCCAGGCCAUAUUGAUCCAGUCACAACCAUCAAACUCAGCCAAAUCUUAGCAACUAUUGCUCAGUUUGACUGUUCAAUGCCAUUAAAUGGGGUCAACAUGGUUGACAAUGCGAGUGAAGCUAUUAUUUUAAAGUCAAUGUUGAAAGCUGCUGAUAUGGCAGAAAAUGAGCUCGGUCUAUACAGAAAUGUAUGUGCUGUUCUGGAGAAAGUUUUAUUAACAGAAGGUAAAAAUGAAGUAGUGCCCAUUGUUGAUAGCUUGCAUAAAUUUGUUAUGAAUUCGCCAGCUUUAGAUCCCAUGCGACCAAAGAAAAAGGUCAACCUAUUAAAAGAACUUGUUGUAGGAAAUAUUAGUAAUGAAGAAGAAAUUGUUGAAAAAUUGAGUUACAUUUUGAAUGACUCCGAUGAAUCCAUCAUUGAAGGCUUUAGAAACUUUAGCAAAGGACAUCCGGAUAUUAUAGGAAAAAUUGUUCAACGCAUGACAGAUAAACUAGACAAAAUAGAAACUGAAAAGGAUGCCUCUGAAUCGCUCCAAAAAGCAAUAAUAGAUGUUGUUAGAGAAUCAAGUGAAAUCAGUGUUCAAGACGUGUUACAUAACGCUUCAAAUGAAAAUGUAAAAAAUAUGUUCCUAGAAGCUAUUGGUCUUGCGCGCGCUAUGGGCAUGAGAGAUGUUGCCAACACUUUAUUAGGAGCCAUAGCAGAUCCAAAGAAGGCUGAACUUUUGGCAAACGAUAGAGUUACAUUUGAAAUUCUUAGAAGACUAACUGUCAUGAGACAUUUGGCAGAAAAAAGGCCGAAAUUUGGAACAGCACUUCUUCAACUUACGAUUGACCCAGAUGAAGCCAGAGCUGACCCCCUAGUGAGGGAAUUAGUGAGAGAAAGUGGUGCUCUUAUGAUCAUUCCUGAAGAAAACGUAAACAUACAAACUGCUGGAGAUGUCCCAAUGUCGCUGCUGACAUGUGACAACAGUUUAGCCAUGGAAGACUUCAUGUUGAAGAACAAGAAACACGGGAUCCUCGUGAUCGUCAAGCACGGGAUACAGUGUGUCAUCCCUCGGGAAGCAUCCAGGGCGGUUCUCACAGGGAAGGUUCCGUACACAGUACUGGACGAAAAAGGGAUGCAUACGUUCGCUCCACUUCAUGUCUUCUCCGCUCUCCACAUCCCCCAGAUGUACACCCAUCGCUUCUCCAUGUACUCUGUGACCACGGAGGAGGAAGCCCCCACCCUCGGAACCCUGACUCCUGCCACCAGCGUUGACGAUGUCACGAUGAUGGUGUCUACACCGCCCGCUCAGGAUGCAGGGAGGGUGGGGAUGUGAUAUUCACAGCCAGCCAAGACUACCUGGCCAGCGACCUCGACUCCUUUAUCUCUGCACCGGGGUGAACAGGUGAUAGUGCUGGAAACUACCGGGGUCGAAGUGGACACUGCCAAACUAGAAUUAGAUGACGAGCUAUGCCUGGGGGGUGAGGUUGGGACUCUCUUGGACAACCCUGCUGCCAGACACAAGUUAGCGGUCCGGCCCAGAAAGAGACACACCGGCUCGAGGCAGCGUGAUACUUCACCUUCCAUGGU
rnacentral:misc_RNA from 1 species